GGAGGCGACAGGAGUCUGGUGGCUCCCCUGGUCUUCAAAACCAGUGGUUCGUCCAAAACGAACGGUGGGUUCGAUUCCCAUCCGCCUCC
rnacentral:tRNA from 1 species